rnacentral:lncRNA from 1 species
UCUUUUCUUUCCUCUCUUCUUCUCUUGUUCCCCUUCCUUGCCACCUCUCCCUUCUAGCUACCGAAACAAGCAUUAGCGGAAACAAAUUUUUUUUUUUUUUUUGCUUUUUCUCUCCCCCUCUUCUCCCUCUUCUUCUCCCCCUUUCCUCCAUUCUCCUCCCCUUCCCCCUCCCUCUCUCCCUCCCCCACAACCUCUCCCUCCUAGCCGCUAGAACAAGCAUCAGCAGAUGCAAUUUUUUUUUUCCCUUUUUCUCUCCCCCUCUCCUCCUCUCCUCCGUUCCACCGAAACAAGCAUCAGCAAGUGCAAAAACAAAUUUUUAUUUUUUCUCUCACCGUCUUCUCCCUCUCCCCCCUCUCCUUCUCUCCUCUCCCCUCCCUCCUCUGCCACCCUUCCCCUCCCCCUAGCUACGAUCUAGUGGCGGGCAGAAAGAGGGGAGAAAGGUGACAGGGGAGAGAGGAGGAAGGAAGAAGUAGAGGGAGAGAGGAGGAGGCAAGAAUUUGAGGGAGAGGGAGAAGAGUAGAAAAAAUAAAGAGGUGGCCGGCACUGGCAUCGGCAUCAGAAUCGGGACUGUCCAACGGCAGAGGUGGUGGUGGGUUGAGGUGGAAGAAGAAAGGAGGAAGGGAAAAUUUUUUUUUUUUUUUUUUUUGUAUUUUGGAUAUUUUGAAGUGUGUAGUUUAAAAAUUUUGAGAAGUUUUUUGAAAUUAUUGUAGAUAAAGUUGUUAAAAAACUAGUAGAAGACAAAUUUGACAAAAACUCACUUUGCCAAGCAGGGCCUAUGUUGUGUUUUGUGCGUUACGUAUGUGGGAUAAGGAGCCUCUACAAUUACUCUUGUAAAUAUGUUUUGUUUUUUGUACACUUUAAUGUUAAUGUUUAUAUUUGCUAUUCUAAUGUUUAUUACAUUGUUUGGUACUAUCGGAAAACAUUUUCCUAAUCACUACUACUGGUAUUGGAUAUAUUCAUAAAAAGUCCUUUCUUCUCUCUAAAAAUUCUCUUCCUUUUCUCUUAGGCUUCAUUUGGGAGUGAAUGAUUUGGAUAGAAAAGAAGGGAAAAGAAGAGAAAGACUGAUUUUCCUUUGUUUGAUAGUUUUAAGUAGGAAAGAAAAGAAAGGAAAUGGGAGGAUGAAUAGUGACAAAAAUGUUUCCUCCCAAAUUGGAAAGAAAUGGAGAGAAAGUUUGGAGAAAGCUUGUUAAUUUUUCUAAAAUGCCUAUUUUGUCCUUAAAAAUGUCUUGAACAAAUAUUUAAUGACUUCCAUAUCCAAA